rnacentral:rRNA from 1 species
GCGAAUACGGAGGGUGCGAGCGUUAAUCGGAAUUACUGGGCGUAAAGCGCAUGCAGGCGGCCUGUUAAGUCAGAUGUGAAAGCCCGGGGCUUAACCUCGGAAUUGCAUUUGAAACUGGCAGGCUAGAGUCUUGUAGAGGGGGGUAGGAAUUUCAGGUGUAGCGGUGAAAUGCGUAGAGAUCUGAAGGAAUACCAGUGGCGAAGGCGGCCCCCUGGACAAAGACUGACGCUCAGAUGCGAAAGCGUGGGGAGCAAACAGGAUUAGAUACCCUGGUAG